rnacentral:snoRNA from 1 species
GGUCUGUGAUGGGUUUUGGCAUGUAUUACCUGAGCAGAACGCUGAGGAUGGUCAGUUCAGCUCUGGAGCUGCUCUGAGACCCG